rnacentral:lncRNA from 1 species
UUUAAGGGUAUACAAUAUAAUAUUAGUCUAUUAGCAAAGCAUUCACUUUGUUGUUAUGAGCCUUCUUAGAAACGAAAGACUUGAUCAGAAAAGAUCUACAUUAUAGAGUUUCUAGGGUUAACAAAAAAAAAAUUAAAAAUGUUUUCCGCUGCUAGGCUUCAAACCCAAAAAUUGAUGAGGUGCAAAGUAGUGAAGAUGUGGAACCGGUUUGCCGCUCGGUUU